CCCUUAGAUGUUCGGGGCCGCACGCGCGCUACACUGAUGGGGUCAGCGUGUUUGCACGUCCUGGUCCGGCAGGAUUGGGCAAUCCGUUGAACCUCCGUCGUGAUUGGGAUCGGAGCUUGUAAUUAUUCUCCGUGAACGAGGAAUUCCCAGUAAGCGCGAGUCAUAAGCUCGCGUUGAUUACGUCCCUGCCCUUUGUACACACCGCCCGUCGCUACUACCGAUUGAACGGUUUAGUGAGGGCCUCGGAUUGGUCUCGGCCCGCUCUUUACCGGGCGGCGCCGUUGGUCGAGAAGACGCUCGAACUUGAUCGUUUAGAGGAAGUAAAAGUCGUAACA
rnacentral:rRNA from 1 species